UACGUAGGGGGCAAGCGUUGUCCGGAUUUAUUGGGCGUAAAGAGCGUGUAGGCGGUUUGGUAGGUCCGCUGUGAAAACUCGAGGCUCAACUUCGAGACGCCGGUGGAAACCAUCAGACUAGAGUCCGGAAGAGGAGAGUGGAAUUCCUGGUGUAGCGGUGAAAUGCGCAGAUAUCAGGAAGAACACCCGUGGCUAAGGCGGCUCACUGGACCAUUACUGACGCUGAUGCGCGAAAGCUAGGGGAGCAAACAGG
rnacentral:rRNA from 1 species